rnacentral:lncRNA from 1 species
GUGGGCAUAAUUUCCAGUAAUAACUCAAGUAUGAGGUACAAGAAUUGAGGAAUGGUUUGAACUUAACCAAGCUGAUAUCACACCAAAAGCCGAGAGAGAGCAAUCUUGGACAGGUUGAAAUGCUUGAGCAGAUGAUGUUGCAGAAGAAAGCAGCGGUGAUACAACACAGACGUUGAGCGGUUAAGAGACUGUAGGUGGCG